rnacentral:rRNA from 1 species
UCGGCGGGGUAACGGCCCACCGAGCCUACGACGGGUAGCCGGCCUGAGAGGGCGACCGGCCACAUUGGGACUGAGAUACGGCCCAUACUCCUACGGGAGGCAGCAGUGGGGAAUAUUGCACAAUGGGCGCAAGCCUGAUGCAGCGACGCCGCGUGCGGGAUGACGGCCUUCGGGUUGUAAACCGCUUUUGAUCGGGAGCAAGCCUUCGGGUGAGUGUACCUUUCGAAUAAGCACCGGCUAACUACGUGCCAGCAGCCGCGGUAAUACGUAGGGUGCAAGCGUUAUCCGGAAUUAUUGGGCGUAAAGAGCUCGUAGGCGGUU